rnacentral:rRNA from 1 species
AGUGAACGCUGGCGGUAGGCCUAACACAUGCAAGUCGAACGGCAGCACAGUAAGAGCUUGCUCUUACGGGUGGCGAGUGGCGGACGGGUGAGGAAUACAUCGGAAUCUACUUUUUCGUGGGGGAUAACGUAGGGAAACUUACGCUAAUACCGCAUACGACCUACGGGUGAAAGCAGGGGAUCUUCGGACCUUGCGCGAUUGAAUGAGCCGAUGUCGGAUUAGCUAGUUGGCGGGGUAAAGGCCCACCAAGGCGACGAUCCGUAGCUGGUCUGAGAGGAUGAUCAGCCACACUGGAACUGAGACACGGUCCAGACUCCUACGGGAGGCAGCAGUGGGGAAUAUUGGACAAUGGGCGCAAGCCUGAUCCAGCCAUACCGCGUGGGUGAAGAAGGCCUUCGGGUUGUAAAGCCCUUUUGUUGGGAAAGAAAAGCAGCAGGUUAAUACCCCGCUGUUCUGACGGUACCCAAAGAAUCAGCACCGGCUAACUUCGUG